UACAGAGGGUGCAAGCGUUAAUCGGAAUUACUGGGCGUAAAGCGUGCGUAGACGGUUGCGUAAGUCAGAUGUGAAAGCCCCGGGCUCAACCUGGGAACUGCAUUUGUGACUGCAUAGCUAGAGUGCGGCAGAGGGAGAUGGAAUUCCGCGUGUAGCAGUGAAAUGCGUAGAUAUGCGGAGGAACACCGAUGGCGAAGGCAAUCUCCUGGGCCUGCACUGACGCUCAUGCACGAAAGCGUGGGGAGCAAACAGG
rnacentral:rRNA from 1 species